GCCUAAUACAUGCAAGUCGAACGAUGAAGCUUCUAGCUUGCUAGAAUGCUGAUUAGUGGCGCACGGGUGAGUAACGCAUAGGUUAUGUGCCUCUUAGUUUGGGAUAGCCAUUGGAAACGAUGAUUAAUACCAGAUACUCCCUACGGGGGAAAGAUUUAUCGCUAAGAGAUCAGCCUAUGUCCUAUCAGCUUGUUGGUAAGGUAAUGGCUUACCAAGGCUAUGACGGGUAUCCGGCCUGAGAGGGUGAACGGACACACUGGAACUGAGACACGGUCCAGACUCCUACGGGAGGCAGCAGUAGGGAAUAUUGCUCAAUGGGGGAAACCCUGAAGCAGCAACGCCGCGUGGAGGAUGAAGGUUUUAGGAUUGUAAACUCCUUUUGUUAGAGAAGAUAAUGACGGUAUCUAACGAAUAAGCACCGGCUAACUCCGUGCCAGCAGCCGCGGUAAUACGGAGGGUGCAAGCGUUACUCGGAAUCACUGGGCGUAAAGAGCGCGUAGGCGGGAUAGUCAGUCAGGUGUGAAAUCCUAUGGCUUAACCAUAGAACUGCAUUUGAAACUACUAUUCUAGAGUGUGGGAGAGGUAGGUGGAAUUCUUGGUGUAGGGGUAAAAUCCGUAGAGAUCAAGAGGAAUACUCAUUGCGAAGGCGACCUGCUGGAACAUUACUGACGCUGAUUGCGCGAAAGCGUGGGGAGCAAACAGGAUUAGAUACCCUGGUAGUCCACGCCCUAAACGAUGGAUGCUAGUUGUUGGAGGGCUUAGUCUCUCCAGUAAUGCAGCUAACGCAUUAAGCAUCCCGCCUGGGGAGUACGGUCGCAAGAUUAAAACUCAAAGGAAUAGACGGGGACCCGCACAAGCGGUGGAGCAUGUGGUUUAAUUCGAAGAUACACGAAGAACCUUACCUAGGCUUGACAUUGAGAGAAUCCGCUAGAAAUAGUGGAGUGUCUGGCUUGCCAGACCUUGAAAACAGGUGCUGCACGGCUGUCGUCAGCUCGUGUCGUGAGAUGUUGGGUUAAGUCCCGCAACGAGCGCAACCCCCUUUCUUAGUUGCUAACAGGUUAUGCUGAGAACUCUAAGGAUACUGCCUCCGUAAGGAGGAGGAAGGUGGGGACGACGUCAAGUCAUCAUGGCCCUUACGCCUAGGGCUACACACGUGCUACAAUGGGGUGCACAAAGAGAAGCAAUACUGCGAAGUGGAGCCAAUCUUCAAAACACCUCUCAGUUCGGAUUGUAGGCUGCAACUCGCCUGCAUGAAGCUGGAAUCGCUAGUAAUCGCAAAUCAGCCAUGUUGCGGUGAAUACGUUCCCGGGUCUUGUACUCACCGCCCGUCACACCAUGGGAGUUGUGUUUGCCUUAAGUCAGGAUGCUAA
rnacentral:rRNA from 1 species